rnacentral:lncRNA from 1 species
CUUCAUAGUCCCUUAAAGUUUCUGCUAGUUUUUCCAGCCCUCAGCAAAUGGUGGUGCUAGCACCUUAUUUUUCAUCCCUGUGUUUCCUCAUUUCAUGGUCAUAUCAGCCUCUUGGUGACUGCCAAUGAGCGGAUCUCAUCAUAGCUGAAAAUUCAGGAACAUGUGCAAAGAAGCCACCCAAAUGGGCAAGAAAUUUUAAUAUUCUCUCUCCUGUCUUUUUGCUUUAAAAUGAGAAGACUGCAAGUAUGAAUCUAUCAAAUUCCCCGGAUCACGUGAUCCCUCCAGCCAGUGAGAGCACUGCCGAAGUAAUGGCAACAACCUUCUGGGAUAAAUAGGCUGUUCCUGGUAUACUGGUUAGUGUUGUCUUUCAGUUUUUUAAUAGUGUCUGAACUUUAUCGGUAAAGUUUGCCUGAUAAUUACUAAGAGAGCAGAGUUUUUUCCUAAUUUACCUUUUAUAUUUUCUUAUUAAACUUGAGAGCAAGUGUUUGUGGAGAAGACCUUGUGGAAUAAGCUGAGAUCUCCUGAUUUCCCUUCACGGCCUCUGACUUGGACCCCAUAUUGUGUCACUUGUAGGUUCAGAGGCCGUUAUUGCAUAUUUUUUAUUUUCUCCAUCUGCAUGUAUGCUAAUGAUCAGGUAUUACAUAGAAUAUGUAUCUGUCCGAAACCUUUCUCAGUUCUCUUUUAAUUUCCGCCUAAAAAUCCACAGUGCAUAUAGAAAUUUUACUUACUGUUUACACUGAGGUACAAAAGGUGCAAGAGGGAGGGGUGGGAUAUGUUAGCUUUUCAGUGUAGCUCCUCCCGUCAUCACAGAUUCUGAAAGAAAAUUUAGUGUUCCAAAUUAUGUGCUGGUUGAAUUGCAGCUAUUUAAACACUCCUUGCCCUGCAGUGUCAGAAUCACAGAAGCAUCCAUAUGUAAAUACUUGAUUGAGAAACUGAAAAAAUUAGAAACUGCUGCUUUCGUAAUGCAAGUUGAAUGGAAUUUAAGAGCCAACCUUAAGACAUUUUUGUUUAAAAGUUUAAAUUAUUGGGUUGUUGAUAAAACAUUGUGUAGGCAGGAGAGGAGAGUAGUUAUACUGCUUUUAAAAAUAUUUAUUUGUUUAUUAGAUGUUAAAGCAAGAUCUAAUUCAAUUUCAUGUAUCUGCCUUUGUUUCAAGACUUUGUACAACACCAACAUGCACUUAACUUCACAAUGAUUCCCAGAAUUGUGUGUGAGUCCUCAAUUUAAGAGAUGUGUGAAUUUCUAUGGUGACCAGAGAAAUUACUUUUUGUUAAUUACAAAUAAUUAAAUUAGAGAAUCUCUGUUGUUGUAUCUUUUCUUUCUUUUAUUUUACUUGUUUAUUUAUCACUUUCACUUUUGCCCAACUGUCUUUGUUUCUUGAAGGUAGCAUCAAAAAAUAUGUGAGGGCGUGUGAGAAAACUGUGAGGAUAGUUGAACAGUGGCACAGGUUACUCAGGGAGGUUGUGGUGUCUCCACCCUUGCAGAUAUCAGGAUGCAACAGUACGUGGUCUUGAGCAACCUGCUGCAGGUGAGCCUGCUCUAAGCAGGAGUUGUACCAGCUUAAAGGGACUACAAACGUCCCUCCCAAUCAAAGUGAUUUCUUGAUUCCUGAAAAAAAGCACCCUGCAGUUUGGAGGGCUAGACAGUACAAUUUUAGGAGAGAUCAGAAGUCACAUAUAAAUUUUAAUCUCAAAAUGACAGUCCCAGAUUUUGGACCUUGCCAUUUUGUUGUCUUGGUUCAGUUGCUAGUCAUUCAUUUGAAGUCAUAGCUAUAUGUGUCUUGGCACCUGAGACAGUGGAAGUUUAGGUUACAUAUUAGGAAGAAGUUUUUCAC